GGACGAACGCUGGCGGCGUGCUUAACACAUGCAAGUCGAGCGGUAAGGCCCUUUCGGGGGUACACGAGCGGCGAACGGGUGAGUAACACGUGGGUGACCUGCCCUCAGCUCUGGGAUAAGCCUGGGAAACCGGGUCUAAUACCGGAUAUGACUCCAUGACGCAUGUUGUGGGGUGGAAAGCCUUGUGCGGCUGAGGAUGGGCCCGCGGCCUAUCAGCUUGUUGGUGGGGUGAUGGCCACCAAGGCGACGACGGGUAGCCGGCCUGAGAGGGCGACCGGCCACACUGGGACUGAGACACGGCCCAGACUCCUACGGGAGGCAGCAGUGGGGAAUCUUGCGCAAUGGGCGAAAGCCUGACGCAGCGACGCCGCGUGAGGGAUGACGGCCU
rnacentral:rRNA from 1 species